rnacentral:rRNA from 1 species
CCUACGGGAGGCAGCAGUGGGGAAUAUUGCGCAAUGGGCGAAAGCCUGACGCAGCGACGCCGCGUGAGGGAUGAAGGCCCUCGGAUCGUAAACCUCCGUUAGCAGGGAAGUACCGUCACUGUGCUAAUCAGCAGUGAAUUGACGGUACCUGCAAAGGAAGCACCGGCUAACUCCGGGCCAGCAGCCGCGGUAAUAGGGAGGGUGCGUGCGUUAAUCGGAAUUACUGGGCGUAAAGCGCUCGUAGGUGGUAUGUCAAGUCAAGGGUGAAAUCCCCGGGCUCAACGGGGGAACUGCCUUUGAGACUGGCAGACUGGAGUGUGUGAGAGGAUGGUGGAAUUCCAGGUGUAGGAGUGAAAUGCGUAGAUAUCUGGAGGAACAUCGAUGGCGAAGGCAGCUAACUGGCACAUAACUGACGCUGAGGAGCGAAAGCGUGGGUAGCAAACAGGAUUAGAUACCCCUGUAGUC